GCUUCCUUUGGAUUUGAAGACAGCGUAGGCAAACAGCUUCUUAGCGCCAAACAAGAUCAGUUUCUUGUGGACCUAUGAUCCUGACACCCUAUAUGCCAUCGUUUCACUUGCACAAUGAAAGCAGUCUGGAAACAAAUCCCACCUGCUGGUGCCAGGAAAAGUGAACCCAAGCCAACAAUGAGCCACCAAUGGUGUGUCAAAUGGUCCAAAAGGAUGGAAUCGUGUGGUAUAGUUGGUGGAUGGCCAUCGUAUUCCAAAGCUGCAACAUAAUCAGGAAAGUAGCCGAGACAUAUUUUGAGCCACAAUCACGGGCAGCGAGCUGAUCGUCCCCGUUCGCGUCCCUGAAGGUGUGACAAUAAGCCCUGAUAGUAUAUGGAGUUUCUGAUCGACUGCUUUCUUCGAUGGCACAAAAUGAAGAACAGAAUUUUGCAAAAUAAAGCCAUCUGUGACAAUGCACCAUCUUAUGCUGCAAGAAUUUCAUCUGCAUCAUGGCCUCCUAUGGCCGCAACAGGAGAGAAAUUUGCGUGUGUGGCCCCCCCAUCCUCCCCUGACGAUCAACCUAAUGAGAACCUUUGAAGCAUCCUUAAGCAAAAAGUCUAAGGGGUUGGGAGGCAUUUCACAUCCAAACAGCAGAUCUGGGUGGAUAUUCUGACAUCCCGCAAAAAAAUAUAUAGUAUAUAUAAAAUCAAGCAGAAGCUGUCCAGGAACUUACAAAUUCAAUGAAUGCAAGACUUGUGUAGCUUCUCUCAAAUAAAACUUCACCUGUUAACAUAUCUUUUGAUUUCUGCAAAUACGAGCUCCUAAUGCUGCAACAAAUGAUAAUUUUCUUGUUCGCUAAACCAACUUACAAAAUCACUUGAAAUGCUGCUGUGCAUGAUGGAUUGGAAAAGUCCAUUUUAACAAAAAUAUUGAUGUUGUUUUUUAAAUGUUAUCAUUGGGAGGUAUGUUUAAGAUAUGUCAUGAAGUUCAUGAUCAUUGUCAUGUGAAGUUCUUUUUGUAAUUAAGGACUAAAUAAAUGAAUUUGA